ensembl:snoRNA
GUAAUUCAAGGGAGGAAUGAUGCUCCAAGUGAAACCUCAAGAAAAGGAGCCUGAGUCCCAGGCCUGUGAUGGAGCCCUUCUCUUCCUGACCUUCCUUGAGCUGAA